CCUACGGGGGGCAGCAGUGGGGAAUAUUGGACAAUGGGGGGAACCCUGAUCCAGCCAUGCCGCGUGUGUGAAGAAGGCCCUCGGGUUGUAAAGCACUUUCAGUGAGGAAGAACGCCUGGUGGUUAAUACCCAUCAGGAAAGACAUCACUCACAGAAGAAGCACCGGCUAACUCCGUGCCAGCAGCCGCGGUAAUACGGAGGGUGCGAGCGUUAAUCGGAAUUACUGGGCGUAAAGCGCGCGUAGGUGGCUUGAUAAGCCGGUUGUGAAAGCCCCGGGCUCAACCUGGGAACGGCAUCCGGAACUGUCAAGCUAGAGUGCAGGAGAGGAAGGUAGAAUUCCCGGUGUAGCGGUGAAAUGCGUAGAGAUCGGGAGGAAUACCAGUGGCGAAGGCGGCCUUCUGGACUGACACUGACACUGAGGUGCGAAAGCGUGGGUAGCAAACAGGAUUAGAUACCCCGGUAUC
rnacentral:rRNA from 1 species